rnacentral:rRNA from 1 species
GACGAAUGCUGGCGGCGUGCUUAACACAUGCAAGUCGAACGGAAAGGCCCCCUUGUGGGGUACUCGAGUGGCGAACGGGUGAGUAACACGUGAGUAACCUACCCUUGACUUUGGGAUAACUUCAGGAAACUGGGGCUAAUACCGGAUAGGAGCUCCUGCUGCAUGGUGGGGGUUGGAAAGUUUCGGCGGUUGGGGAUGGACUCGCGGCUUAUCAGCUUGUUGGUGGGGUAGUGGCUCACCAAGGCUUUGACGGGUAGCCGGCCUGAGAGGGUGACCGGCCACAUUGGGACUGAGAUACGGCCCAGACUCCUACGGGAGGCAGCAGUGGGGAAUAUUGCACAAUGGGCGGAAGCCUGAUGCAGCAACGCCGCGUGCGGGAUGACGGCCUUCGGGUUGUAAACCGCUUUCGCCUGUGACGAAGCGUGAGUGACGGUAAUGGGUAAAGAAGCACCGGCUAACUACGUG